GCUUGAAGAAGGACAGCUCAGUAGAGCAUGAGACUCUUAAUCUCAGGGUGGUCAUGGGUUCAAGCCCCAUUCUGGGCA